rnacentral:rRNA from 1 species
CGCGGCCUAUCAGCUUGUUGGUGAGGUAAUGGCUCACCAAGGCGACGGCCGGGUAGCCGGCCUGAGAGGGCGACCGGCCACACUGGGACUGAGACACGGCCCAGACUCGUACGGGAGGCAGCAGUAGGGAAUAUUGGGCAAUGGGCGCAAGCCUGACCCAGAGACGCCGCGUGAUGGAUGAAGGUAUUCGGAUUGUAAACCUCUCUCAGUAGCGAAGAAGCGAAAGUGACGGUACCUAAAGAAGAAGCACCGGCUAAUUAUGUGCCAGCAGCCGCGGUAAUACAUAGGGUGCAAGCGUUGUCCGGAAUUAUUGGGGUAAAGAGCUCGUAGGUCGUUUGUCGCGUCGAUUGGAAAAAUCGAGGCUCAACCUCAGACCUGCAGUCGAACGGGGCAAACUAGAGUGUGGUAGGGGAGACUGGAAUUCCUGGUGUAGCGGUGGAAUGCGCAGAUAUCAGGAGGAACACCAAGGGCGAAGGCAGGUCUUGGGGCCAUAACUGACAUUGAGGAGCAAAAGUGCGGGGAGCGAACAGGAUUAGAUACCCUGGUAGUCCGCACCGUAAACGGUGGCCACUAGUUGUGGGAACCUUCCACGGUUUCCGCGACGCAGCAAACGCAUUAAGUGCCCCGCCUGGGGAGUACGG